rnacentral:rRNA from 1 species
UACAGAGGGUGCGAGCGUUAUUCGGAAUUACUGGGCGUAAAGCGCGCGUAGGCGGCUUUGCAAGUCGGGUGUGAAAUCCCCAGGCCUAACCUGGGAACUGCAUUCGAGACUGCAUGGCUAGAGUAUCGGAGAGGGAAGUGGAAUUUCAGGUGUAGCGGUGAAAUGCGUAGAUAUCUGAAGGAACAUCAGUGGCGAAAGCGACUUCCUGGACGAAUACUGACGCUCAUGUGCGAAAGCGUGGGGAGCAAACAGG